GCUUAUCAAAGAGGAGAUACAAUAUCUCUCUUGCAGAAAAAUAGCAUUAGUUUUCCAAUUUGAUUUCACUAGUUAUAUUGGUAAAAAUAAAAGAUGUGAUAGAGACAGUUGAGAAUGCAGAAGACAAGAAACUAAACAGGGCAAAUCAGAUUCACUUCUCAACUACUAGAAAUCAUGAUACAGCUUUACUAAAGAGCUAAAAUUUCCCAACAGCUGAAGACUCGUAGUUCUAGUGCUGGUUUGAACGGGAUAUCCUUUAAUAACCGUAGCUACCUCCAUAAACAGAACCAUAAUCUGCAGAUGGCGCAUGACCAGCGUGACCAGUGGAUGAAGAGUACACAGGACCCUGAGAAGGGUAGGGAUUAUAACCUUGGGAAGGUGGUCCAGCUGCAGUGUUCUGCAUUGAGCUGGUAGCAUCAGCGAUUGAAUUCUGAACUAAUUGUUGUGCUGUUUGGACUUGUGAUGCAGACCCAUUUAUCUCAACAGUCAUCUCACCAGGAACACCCCUCGUUUCCUGUACUGCAAUAGUUGCACCACUGGCCCGACGAAUAUAACUAAUAUUUGAACCAGAAGCCCCAAUAACAGCAUCGGCAUAUGACAAGGGGAUUUGUAUGUUCUGUGUGACCUUUGAAACUAUUGAUUGUUGUGGUUGUGCAUUUCCAUGAGCUCCCAUUGAAGCAUCUCUGCCAUAAACAGGGGGACCCUGAUGAGGCUGCUUAUCUUGAUGCAUGUCUACUCGGGGAAAAUAAUUGUCAAAUUGACGCGGUGGCGGCAUAUACUGAUGGUUGGCUCCGUAUCCAGGGCCCCCAGCACUCAUGGGAAAGCUAGACGGCGGUGGACCCCAAGGUUGGUUAGGUCCAGGCGGGGGCAUAUUCUGGUGUGCAUGAGCAUUUGGCAUUUGCAUUAAUUUCUCAAAUAAUCCAAUUACACUGCGAUCUACUAAAAAUUUCCUUAGAUGACCUGCAAUCAUUUCAACUGCUUUAUGCACGCCUGCUGGCUCUCCUUGUAUCUCAACAAUACUAUCAUCAGGCAGGGCAAAAACAGGGAGAUGCUCUCCUCCAAGUACUCGAAUAGUGCAAUGAGAUUCAUCUUGAAUAGACUUAACAGUUGCACCUUGCUUUCCAAUCAGGAUUGCAGCCUGUGUAGCAGCAACAAGUAGUCUAGUCGAAGCUGGUUUCCCAGCACCACCAGGAGCAUUGGAGUCAUAAUCCACAUCAAUUAUCCGCUUAUGGACCUUUAAAAGUCCAUCCAUAGCAGGCGGAAUGGAGAGGUUAGGCUCUUCUCUCGCAGAUAUCAUCACAGCUCUUUCUUUAGUACCAUGAGGACCAUCAAGGACCUUAAUGCGAGCUUUUGUCUCUUCACAUGUCUUUUUAAUAUACUCUCCUUUGCGACCAAUAAUACCACCAACCUUCUGAGAAGGAACUAACAUCCUGAAAACAUUUUCUCCGGGCCAACCAGGCCAUCUUUUUUCCUCACCACCACCUGAACCGUUUUCAGCAACUUGCAUCUCUUCUGGUUCCGAUUUUAUCACAUGUUCCUGAAGGGACUCAACUUGUGCCUCCUCUUGUUCCAGUUUUACUGGAUGUUCCUGAAGAAACGCAACUAGUACCUCCUCUGGUUCCAAUUUUACCUCUUCUGGAAGCAAGUUCUCAUGUGCAUUGUCCAUUUCCUGAAUGUUUUCCAGGGUAUGUGCAUUGUCCACUUCCCCCGUAUGUCCAUCCGCUGCGCUGUGCACAUUCUCUGCGUUGUAGACAUUACCAAGGUCAUGUUCCUGGUAGCUUUCUUCUGCCAUUUGAUGAAUUGAAGAGAUAUCGAAUGAGGCUGUGGAAGCAAG
rnacentral:misc_RNA from 1 species